GCGGGAUUAGUUUAACGGUAGAACAAAUGGUUUCCAACCAUUUAGCAGGAGUUCGACUCUCCUAUCCCGCA
rnacentral:tRNA from 1 species